GAUAUUUCUCAGAACAUAGACAGAGAAACAAUUUCAAUACAGGUAAAAAGGUUUCAGUGAGCCUGUUCUCUCAGGCUGUGGGAGAUCGUGGGCUUAGGAUUUAUCUUCACACAGCAAAAUUUGGUCCUUGGGAACAGAGGGUAAAAGAGGAGCUUCUAUUGCUGGUGUUCCACUACUGAGGCAUAUUGAAUAAGACCCUACACUUUGAUCUUCAGAAAAACUCGAUUCUUGUUUAAGCGAAAGCUGAAGUGGUCCUGGGAGUAAAGAAGAGAUAUGAGGGACAUCCAUACAUUCAUCCAACCAGAACCUGGAAAAAAAAGAAAAACAGGAAAAAACCUUUGAUCCAGUUAUCCAGUCCUAAAAAAAAGUAGUCCACCUGCUGUAUUACGGGUACUUCAUCAGAAAAUUACUUCAACGCUUUUGAAAUGAAGCUUGUACUUAUGAACUGCUCAAGUUUGGAAGCAGGUAACCCAAAUAUAUUAGUCCUAUUUCUACUUAAUUUCUUCUAGAAAAAAAAAUAUUUAAGAGUUCCACAAGGGAAAAUGGGUCAUCAGAAGAUCCUCAACAGAUUCUAGGCAGGACAAAUUCUCUUAUUUAGCACUGAAUUUUGUCUGCAAGGGUGCCACCCUGGGGUUUGAUUCCUGUAAAUAUGUGAAACAUGUUCAUACUGUUCUUUUUCAAAACCAUAAUAGCUUUAUUGGUUUAACUGGAUGGUUCAUCUAGUUCCGUAUUCUGUCCCCCAAAACAACCAUAAGCAAACGCUUAAUGGGGACUAAGGUUAGGGAAAGAAAACUUAAUGCUCAUCCAGUAUUUGUUUCUUUUCAGGGGAUUUCUUUGAACUGUUCUGAUUUGUCUGUUUAAGAACAUGCCACAGACUUUUCUUCCAGCUACCUGAAUUCUCAUCAUCUUCUUCUACCCACAAUGUUUCUACACAUUCUACUGGGUCCAUAUACACAUACAUUGGCCCAUAUACAACAGAGGAAUGGCACAAGGUUCUUUUCAGUAAAAAUUUUAUCCUUUCUUCUCUGCAAAAUUUAUUGAUAGCAUUCAUCUGCCCUUUGCCCCAAUAAAGUAUAUACUCUAGAUAAAAAA